CACACAGUUUCAACAGUCACACCAAUCUCCUUAUCACCAGCAACACAUUGCGCAGUCACUAGGCCCAAACACACAGGAUCCUCACAUGCUCAACAAUAUCACGACGUCGCACACACAAAAUUAAAUCAAAAACCCACCAAAGACUAUACACUUAUCAAUGUAACCAUUAUUCAAACCAUACAACUAUCCACGCUAUUAAUCCAUAUAAACUAACCGAUCACAUAACAUUUCAACAAAUUCAUCUCUACAAUUAUCUGUACUAUAAAUCAACUUUUGACUAACCAACUAUAUCACAUUCUAGUAACCUCAUCUUUACAGUCAGUGGUUAUGGUACAGUUAGUAAGUGAUUAUAAUACAGUUUUAAAGUCACAGAUCAGUUAGUAACAGUUAUGGUAUUAUACAUAUAACAUAAAACAGCAAUUGUUAGUAAUUUUUACACAAUGUCAGUGGUUAUGGUACAUGUCAGUAGUUAUG